rnacentral:rRNA from 1 species
UACAGAGGUGGCAAGCGUUAUUCGGUAUCACUGGGCUUAAAGGGCGCGUAGGCGGCGCAGUACGGUCUGGGUGAAAUCCCUCGGCUCAACCGAGGAAUUGCCUGGGCAACGGCUGUGCUAGACAGCAUCAGGGGAAGGUGGAACUCGCGGUGGAGCGGUGAAAUGCGUAGAUAUCGCGAGGAACGCCGGUGGCGAAAGCGACCUUCUGGGGUGCUUGUGACGCUGAGGCGCGAAAGCUAGGGGAGCGAACGGG